GUAUUAUCGAGAGUUCCCUUCAACCACUUUACGUGGCACUGUUUCAAGGCCUAUUGUGUGAAGUGUUUGGGGGAACUCUCGAUAUCAC
rnacentral:pre_miRNA from 1 species